GGAGGGCAGCGUCCGCCGGUGCGGGCCCCGGUCUUCAAAACCGGUCGUCGGGCCUUUGCGGUCCGGGUUGGGUUCGACUCCCAAUGCCCUCCGCCA
rnacentral:tRNA from 1 species